AGUGAACGCUGGCGGUAGGCCUAACACAUGCAAGUCGAACGGCAGCACAGUAAGAGCUUGCUCUUACGGGUGGCGAGUGGCGGACGGGUGAGGAAUACAUCGGAAUCUACUUUUUCGUGGGGGAUAACGUAGGGAAACUUACGCUAAUACCGCAUACGACCUACGGGUGAAAGCAGGGGAUCUUCGGACCUUGCGCGAUUGAAUGAGCCGAUGUCGGAUUAGCUAGUUGGCGGGGUAAAGGCCCACCAAGGCGACGAUCCGUAGCUGGUCUGAGAGGAUGAUCAGCCACACUGGAACUGAGACACGGUCCGGACUCCUACGGGAGGCAGCAGUGGGGAAUAUUGGACAAUGGGCGCAAGCCUGAUCCAGCCAUACCGCGUGGGUGAAGAAGGCCUUCGGGUUGUAAAGCCCUUUUGUUGGGAAAGAAAAGCAGCAGGUUAAUACCCCGCUGUUCUGACGGUACCCAAAGAAUAAGCACCGGCCAACUUCGUG
rnacentral:rRNA from 1 species